rnacentral:rRNA from 1 species
UACGGAGGGUGCGAGCGUUAAUCGGAAUAACUGGGCGUAAAGGGCACGCAGGCGGGGUUUUAAGUGAGAUGUGAAAUCCCCGGGCUUAACCUGGGAAUAGCAUUUCAGACUGGGAGUCUUGAGUAAUUUAGGGGGAGGUAGAAUUCCACGUGUAGCGGUGAAAUGCGUAGAGAUGUGGAGGAAUACCGAUGGCGAAGGCAGCCCCUUGGGAAUGUACUGACGCUCAUGUGCGAAAGCGUGGGGAGCAAACAGG